CCCACCCGCACCAGGCACCACGCCGCGGCCGCGCCUGCUCGACUUGCCCCCGACACGAUCCCCAACCCUCUCGCGGCUCCAGUCCAGGGAAGCUCCCACCCUCCGGAGAGCGGCGAGAGAGCUCAAGGUUUCGAGCCCCCGAUCACAUCUAGCCGGCGUCAAGGAGAAUGCCUCGCAAAGUUGUAUCUGGGCCUGACUGCGAUGAUGAUUACGAUGACUAUGAUGAGUAUGAUGAUGAUUAUGAUGAGUAUGAUGACACCAGAUAUGGCAACGAUCAACAUCCUGUUCAGAAGGAAAAAGAAUCAUUGAAAAAGUCCUCAACUAUGGUGCCCGUGCAUUGGACCUGUUCCAUGUGCACGUUCAAUAAUCAUGAAAGCAUGACGUACUGUGAGAUGUGUGGGGUUUUCCAUGAAACCUUUGUCAAAUCUGCCAAGAAUGGUUCAUUAAAAGAUGCAGUCGGCGCAGCGUCAAGUGAGCCUAGGGCAAGUGCUGCACCAAAAACAGAUUCUGCCAAGACGGCGAUGAAGACUCGUGGUGUGCAUUCUGAUAAUGAUUCUGCGAGAAAGCAUGCUAGUACACCAUGUGAUAAAGCCAAUUCCACACAGUUACCAUCUGCUGGUAGCUCAUUAAGUGCUGGAAAAAAGAAGAAAACUCCUGUAGUUUCUGAAGAAAUACCUGUGGAAAGGACAGCUCUAUUGGUCCCCAAUCAUUUUCAGCUGAAGAAUGACAGGAGUGGUGGGGCUAGCAGUUCCUUGCAGAAUGAUUAUGUGACCCAGAAACUCUCUUCUGACAUAAGCCAGCUAAAUGUAGACAAGAACAAUGUGAAUGUUACGAAACCUUGUUUGCCUGAAGAGUAUAAGCCUGAGAAGUGGAUGUUAGCUGAUCAGGAGUCAGGGGUGUUGAGCCAGCUAAACCUUGCAAUAGUGGGUCAUGUUGAUUCUGGCAAGUCGACACUAUCUGGGAGAUUACUGCAUCUAUUAGGAAGGAUAUCGAGAAAAGAUAUGCACAAGAAUGAGAAGGAGUCGAAAGAGAAAGGGAAGGGAUCAUUUGCUUUUGCAUGGGCCAUGGAUGAGAGCAGUGAAGAAAGGGAACGAGGUGUGACAAUGACAGUUGGUGUGGCCUAUAUGGAGACGAAGAAAUACCGUGUGGUUUUGCUUGACUCACCUGGCCACAAAGAUUUUGUGCCAAAUAUGAUAUCUGGUGCAACACAAGCUGAUGCAGCUAUUCUUGUGGUUGAUGCUUCAACGGGUUCUUUUGAAGCCGGUAUGGAUGGUGAAGGAGGAAAAAGUGUCGGUCAGACUAAAGAGCAUGCUCAGCUUAUUAGAAGCUUUGGCGUUGAACAGCUUGUUGUUGCAGUGAACAAGAUGGAUGCUGUUGCAUACUCAAAAGAAAGAUUUGAGUUCAUCAAACUACAACUUGGCAGUUUUCUGCGGUCUUGCAACUUCAAAGACUCAGCUAUUACCUGGAUUCCUCUUAGUGCUGUAGAAAAUCAGAAUUUGAUCAAACCUCCUUCAGAUGCUUGUUUGACCUCCUGGUAUCAAGGGUUCUGUCUCUUGGAUGCUAUAGAUUCCCUGCAGCUUCCUUCUCGGGAUGUUACAAAGCCCCUCAUUCUUCCCAUCUGUGAUGUUAUCAAGUCUCAGUCAACAGGGCAGUUGGCAGCUUUUGGAAAAUUGGAAACUGGGGCUAUUCAAAAUGGUUCUAAGGUGUUAGUUUUACCUUGCGGGGUAGAGGCGACAGUGAAAAACAUUGAGCGGGACACUAAUUCAUGCAGCGUAGCAAGAGCUGGUGACAAUGUGGCGGUUAGUUUACAGGGUAUUGAUGGGAAUCAACUAAUACCUGGCGGGGUGCUUUGCCACCCUGGUUUCCCUGUGGCUGUAGCUAACCGCUUGGAGCUUAAGAUUCUAGUCCUGGAUAUUGCCAUUCCAAUUCUUGUUGGUUCUCAGGUGGAGUUUCACAUACACCAUGUCAAGGAGGCUGCAAGAGUAACAAAAAUCAUUGCUUUGCUUGACAAGACUGGGAAACCAAGUAAAUCAGCACCCCGAUUUCUUAACUCAAAACAGAACGCUGUUGUGCAGGUUGCCCUUGAUGGGGCGGUCUGCGUUCAGGAAUUCUCCAAGAGCCGAGCACUUGGGAGGGCAUACUUAAGGUCGUCUGGUCGCACAAUUGCUGUUGGUGUAGUUAAUCGGGUAAUUGGCCAAGAUGAGAACUAGAAGACCUCAACUCUUCUGAAACCUGAACCGAAUCAGUCAUUGCUAGGAUGUAGAGACCUUAUCAGAACCCUGGUGCUGGCAAGUUUUGUUUUCUGUUUGCUUUAUCGGCAUUAUGGCCAUUCCAAUGUAUUGGAAUAUGGCUGUAAGGUAAUACUAGUCCCAACUCCCGGCCAGUGAUCAUCGAGUGGUGCGAGGCCAUGCAAGAUUCACGGAGGUGCCCAUAAUAUUGAUCUGCCGCUGUAACUACGGGCAGCCAUGGCACAUGUGCGGUCAGGCACGGCGUGUCAACGAGACGCUUGGGGAUUGGUCGACUUCCAACACAUAUUCGAAGUGUUCACGAGUACUCCCUCCGUUCCAAAUAAAUUGUAGGUCGUUUUAAUAAAUUUAGAUGCAUAAUUUUUACUACACAUCUAGAUAAAUACUAUGUCUAGAUACAUGACAAAAAAUUUGUAUCUAGAUUUGCCAAAACGACCUACAAUUUGGAACGAAGGGAGUAUAUAAUAGGAAAAAGUCCUUUCUGUCUC